rnacentral:rRNA from 1 species
GAUGAACGCUGGCGGCGUGCCUAAUACAUGCAAGUCGAGCGAACGGACGAGAAGCUUGCUUCUCUGAUGUUAGCGGCGGACGGGUGAGUAACACGUGGAUAACCUACCUAUAAGACUGGGAUAACUUCGGGAAACCGGAGCUAAUACCGGAUAAUAUUUUGAACCGCAUGGUUCAAAAGUGAAAGACGGUCUUGCUGUCACUUAUAGAUGGAUCCGCGCUGCAUUAGCUAGUUGGUAAGGUAACGGCUUACCAAGGCAACGAUGCAUAGCCGACCUGAGAGGGUGAUCGGCCACACUGGAACUGGGAAACGGUCCAGACUCCUACGGGGGGCAGCAGUAGGAAAUCUUCCGCAAUGGGCGAAAGCCUGACGGAGCAACGCCGCGUGAGUGAUGAAGGUCUUCGGAUCGUAAAACUCUGUUAUUAGGGAAGAACAUAUGUGUAAGUAACUGUGCACAUCUUGACGGUACCUAAUCAGAAGGCCACGGCUAACUACGU